rnacentral:misc_RNA from 1 species
GAUGAAGAACGCAGCGAAAUGCGAUAAGUAAUGUGAAUUGCAGAAUUCAGUGAAUCAUCGAAUCUUUGAACGCACCUUGCGCCCUUUGGCUAUUCCGAAGGGCAUGCCUGUUUGAGUAUCAUGAACACCUCAACUCUCAUGGUUUGCCAUGAUGAGCUUGGACUCUGGGGGUCUUGCUGGCUUAUGGUCAGCUCCUCUUAAAUGAAUCAGCUUUCCAGUGUUUGGUGGCAUCACAGGUGUGAUAACUAUCUACGCUUGUGGUUUUUCCACCAGGUAACCUUCGACAGCGGAGGUUCACUGGAGCUCAUAGAUGUCUCUCCUCAGCGAGGACAGCCCUUUGAAUGUUUGAUCUCAAAUCAGGUAGGACUACCCGCUGAACUUAAGCAUAUCAAUAAGCGGAGGA